GCCCCCAGCCCGCGGCGCGCUGGCCGCCCUCCACUGCCCCGCCCCCAGCUCGGCCCGCAAGGACUAGGCAGAGGCUGCCCGCUUCCACUUGGGGGACGAACGGCCCGUACCCCUCUCUCCACCGCGAAGACGCCGGUCCAGGAGGGCCCUGAGGUGAGCUUUCUGCCCCGAAGUCCGGAGUGGAAACCCAGUCCCUGGGUAUUAGGGCUUUCCGCUCUAGGAAGUGUUUUUGCAACACGCCUCCAGAGCUUUACCCGGGAAGAAGCCGCCCCGCAAAGGGUUUUAUUUUGUUUUAAUAAGUUGACUCCUCUUUUGGAUUUGUGUUAUAAAACACUCGGGGGAUGAUUGUCACUGGACAGACCGCCUCUGGCACGACGUGAAGCCUCGCUGUCACUUGCGAAGGGAUGAAAAAGCGACGGGCUGGUGGCACGGGCGGCGCAGUCAGCAGCACAGGUAGCUCAGGUCCAUGGGAACCAGUUGUCAACUGCAGUGCUGAGCUCGAGUAGAACCCAUCCUCCUUGGCCUGGAGGAGCAGCGCUCCCGUUGCCCUCCGAGCUGGAGUGGAACAGAAUGGGAGACACAAGGGGCACACCGGCGAACUGCCCAGACAGCGCGCUCAUCGGAACCAUUACCUGGGCGACUGGCAGUUUCAGUGGUCGAUACACUUGGAACAAGCCGGCGUGGACAUGCACGUUCCGAGCCGUCGGUUUCCUGGAGGCCGCGCUCC